GUCUAUGGCCGUAUCACCCUGAACAUGCCCGACCUUUUCGAAUCUCAGAAGCUAAGCAGGCUCAGGCCUGGUUAGUACUUGGAUGGGAGAAGUCUCCAGCUUCACAGUCU
rnacentral:rRNA from 1 species